GCAUAUCUUCCCUUUGGCUUCACCUGCACAAGUGCCAAGGUGCUGCCUGUUCUUUUGGAGUGCCUGCAAUUGCAAGAAGCGCAGCUUGGAGCUGUGCGGCGCAGAUAAGGUGUCUUUGAAAGAGAACAAAGCGGAAAUGCAAUGGAGGCACAAAAUGAUCAUGGUAGGGGGCCGUGGGGCUGCUGCCCCAAUGAAGAGGCAGAAUAUGGAUCAAACUCUUAACACUGGUAAUGAAUCUGCACCUUUUGCACCUAAAUCCUACUCAACAUCCAGCAAUUUACAACGUACACACACACAAAAAAAAGC